CUUGACACACAUAAGAGGUCCAGCCUGCCCAGUGACUAAGUUCAACGGCCGCGGUAUCCUAACCGUGCGAAGGUAGCGUAAUCACUUGUUCUUUAAAUGAGGACUAGUAUGAAUGGCACCACGAGGGUUAUACUGUCUCCUUUUUUUAAUCAAUGAAACUGAUCUCCCCGUGAAGAAGCGGGGAUAAAUCUAUAAGACGAGAAGACCCUAUGGAGCUUUAAACAAUUAUAGCACUGGCCCCCACCUCUUAUUCUUCUGAGAUAUAAUUAUUAUACAGGCCAACAUGACUAUUAGUUUUAGGUUGGGGUGACCGCGGAGCAAAAAUUAACCUCCACGUUGAACGGAGCUACUCCUGAGCUAAAAACUACAACUUUAAGCACCAAUAAACUGACAUCAAUUGACCCAAUAUAUUGAACAACGAAC
rnacentral:rRNA from 1 species